UUAAAGAAGGAAAAACUUUUCAUUUACUUUAUAAGUUUUUCAUUGAAAAUCAAGAGUUUGUUGGACGAUUUUUUACUACAUGGCUGAGGAAAAAGAGAACAAAGGGGAGGAGGUAAAAAAGGAGGAGGAAAAGAAAGAAGAAGAGAAAAAAGUAGAGGAAAAAAAAGAAGAUGAAAUUCAAGAAAUUGUGCUUAAAGUUGAUAUGCAUUGUGAAGCUUGUGCAAGAAAAGUUGCAAGAUCCCUCAAAGGUUUUCAAGGAGUGGAGGAAGUAAAGGCAGAUUCUAAGGCUAGCAAAGUGGUGAUAAAAGGGAAAAAUGCAGAUCCUCUCAAAGUGUGUGAAAGAAUUAAAAAAAAAAGUGGUAGAAAAGUGGAAUUGAUUUCACCUUUGCCAAAACCACCAGAAGAACAUAAAAAAGAAGAAGAAAAGAAAGAGGUGUUGCCAAAAGUAGAAGAGAAGAAAGAUGAGCCUCCUCCGGUCAUAACAGUGAAGAUGACAGUUCAGAUGCAUUGUGAAGCUUGUGCACAAGUAAUGCAGAAACGAAUCCGAAAAAUUCAAGGUGUUGAAUCUGUAACGACGGACCUAGGAAACAAUCAAGUAGUAGUAAAAGGUGUCGUUGAUCCAGAGAAGUUAGCGAACGACGUGUACAAGAGGACAGGGAAGCAAGCUAUAGUAGUGAAGGAAGAAGAAGUAAAAAAGGAAGAAGAGAAGAAAGAAGAAGAGAAAAAAGAAGAAAAGAAAGAAAGUGAAGAAGAAAAAGGCAAAGAGGAAGAUGAUAAGACAACAAUAGAUAUCAAGAAAAAUGAAUAUAUGCAUCAAAGGGACUACAUUUUCAUGGAGUAUGCUAAUUACCCCCUCAGAUUUUCAGUGAUGAGAAUCCUAAUGCUUGCUCUAUCAUGUAACCUUUUCGGUUACUCAGUGGCGGAACCAGGAAUUCUGACAAGGAAAUUUCAUUGCAUGUAGUGUUGUUAUUGUUCGAUUUUCGAUAUGUUCUAGUCUAGUAUAUUCUAAUAAAGAUUUAUUAAGUUGUCUAUUUGAGAGAUUUUUCUCAA